AUCCAGCUAACGAGUCCUAGAUAGGACGAAACGCACGUCAAACUGGAU
rfam:Schistosoma curassoni strain Dakar, Senegal genome assembly, scaffold: SCTD_scaffold0000027